rnacentral:rRNA from 1 species
GACAGCAGCCGCCACGGUAAUACAGAGGGUGCGAGCGUUAAUCGGAUUUACUGGGCGUAAAGCGUGCGUAGGCGGCUUUUUAAGUCGGAUGUGAAAUCCCUGAGCUUAACUUAGGAAUUGCAUUCGAUACUGGGAAGCUAGAGUAUGGGAGAGGAUGGUAGAAUUCCAGGUGUAGCGGUGAAAUGCGUAGAGAUCUGGAGGAAUACCGAUGGCGAAGGCAGCCAUCUGGCCUAAUACUGACGCUGAGGUACGAAAGCAUGGGGAGCAAACAGGAUUAGAUACCCCCGUAGUCCCUGUCUCUUAUAC